rnacentral:lncRNA from 1 species
CUCUGUGGUUUUCCUGUGAACAAACUCUACAUCUACACAACUUCUCUACUGAAAUAAUCCUCUGGGUGAAGAUAUUCUGUGAAGUCAGACUAACAGUGAGACUCUCUGAAAAAUGACAUUGUUCAUCCCAGAUAUGACUGCUGGACGUCUGUUUUUUGUCAUCCUCAUUUUCUAUACCUUCCAACAUGUCAAAGCCCAAGACCGUCCUAAGCCCAGUCUGACUCUGAAUCAUGCAGUCAUCAGAGAGAGAGAAUCUAUUCAGCUGAUCUGUGAGACUCCAUCUGUAUCUGUGCCUCAGUGUCACUUCAUCAUAGAGGGGGAACAGAAGUCAUAUCCUUUACCUUGUCAGAGCACACUAACGGGAGAUAAGCUGCUUCACUGGGCAGGUCAAAGUUCACCUGUUGAGGUCAAAAUUCAAUGUUUCUACAUGGUGGAGACAUACUAUCCAUCGACACACAGUGACCCUGUCUCUUUGAGGAUUCUGGAUCACAGAGACCUCCCUCAGCCCAUUCUGACAGUGAAUCCUAAAGUUAUCAGAGAGAGAGACUCAGUUCAGCUGAGCUGUGUGACUCCUCCAUCUCUCUCUGAGUGUCAGUGUGUAUUCUAUGAAGACGGGAGACCUGCUCUUCCAGACACAUCCUGUAAACAGACGGUCACAGGAACUCAGCUGCUUUCUUGGACAGGUCAAAAAUCACCAGCUGUGGUCCAGGUGAUGUGUUACUACAUUGUAGGAAGAUAUCACACAUCUCCUCCCAGUGACCCAGUCAUUGUCACAUUCCAGGACCCUCCUCAGCCCAGUCUGACAGUGAGUCCUUCAGUCAUCAGAGAGAGAGACUCCGUUCAGAUGAUCUGUGAGACUCCAUCUGUAUCUGUGUCAGUGUGUCACUUCAUCAUAGAGGGGGAACAGAUCUCACAUCCUUCACCAUGUCAGAGCACACUAACGGGAUAUCAGCUGCUUCACUGGGCAGGUCAAAUUUCACCUGUUGAGGUCAAAAUUCUAUGUUUCUACAUUGUGGAGACAUACUAUCCAUCAACACGCAGUGACCCUGUCUCUUUGAGGAUUCUGGAUCAACAAGACCUCCCUCAGCCCAAUCUGAUAGUGAUUCCCACAGUUAUCAGAGAGGGAGACUCAGUUCAGCUGAGCUGUGUGACUCCUCAAUCUCUCUCUGUGUCUCAAUGUGUAUUCUAUGAAGACGGGAGACCUGCUCUUCCAGACACAUUCUGUAAACAGACUGUCACAGGAAUUCAGCUGCUUUCUUGGGCAGGUCAAAAAUCACCAGCUGUGGUCCAGGUGAUGUGUUACUACAUUGUAGAAAGAUAUUACCCAUCUCCUUCCAGUGGCCCAGUCAUUGUCACUGUCCAGGGUUCCACAGUUAGUACUACUUUGACAAGUGACACCCCAAAGAAAACAACUGUAGGUUCAACCACUGCUUCUAGCACCCCGGCAACUUCAUCAGGUUUAACCUCUCCUUUCAUACCCAGCAUGGCAAUUAAUCAUACUUCAGGUUCCACAGUUAGUAUUACUUUGACAAGUGACACCCCAAAGAAAACAACUGUAGGUUUGACUGUUAGUUCGACUUUGACAACUGGCAGCUCUCAGAGUUCAACUGAAAGAGUUCAAAGCUCCACAAUAACUGUUGUGGAUUCAAACCAAGAGAGCAAUUUGGUGCAAUCAUUUUGGUUAGCAGCAGUGGGUGUGGGUUCUGGAGUUGGCUUGUUCCUUGUGGGACUGACAGCUGUCUGUCUCUGUAGGAAGACCAAAAGAAACAAAUCUCAGAGACAUCAAGACCAACAAGAUGAUCAUAACCAACAUCCUUUUGGAGAGAACGGACAAUCAUCUGAACAUGAUAAUUAUGAUAUAUAUCACCUGUACAACUCAAUCCCAGACAGAACUGCAGCCUCAGCCCAGACAGAUGGGUUUUACAGUCUUCUGAUGACACACUGAAAUUACAUGACUCACUUUCUGUAGUUACAAUAUCCAAAUGUUUUUGGACAGUGAUAUGUUUUUUUACUCUUUAU